CCGAGGCCGCGCAACUUGGUUCCGCGCCGGGUUCCGCUCUCGCCGCCAGCGCCUGGUUUAACCGACCUGGACAGCGGGCGGGAUGCUGGGAGGAGAAGUGCCCUGGGGCUUCCUGGCAGAGGUGCGGACCUGGCUCUUAGCGACACGCUUAGUGGAGAGACGCGGCGAGGUGCGCUCCUUGAGCUCUUUGCCGCUCGUCGAGUCGGAGGAAAGCACUCCGUCUAGAGCGAGUUAGGGUUGGCGCUGCUCCACGCGCUCAAAACAGCCCUAAUGCCACUUCCCCGGCUCCCACCGCCCCGUUUCUGCAGAACAUGCCAAUCAACACAGCUGUCGUGAAGAAACCAGUUGUUGGUCUGGUCGGUGGGUGAGGCUGGGGCAGGGCCGGGGGACGUCCUAAGCCAGAGCCAGGGCUGCAAGCAGGCCGUAUGGUUCCCCUGCUGCAGACGCGAGACGGAAGGCCCCACCGGACCGUCGGCCGGGACGCACCGAGGCCGGGGUUUGCGGAGCCCCGCGCAGCGCACCCUGCCUGCCCGGCCGCUCGGCCGCGUCUGGCUCUGUCCUUAGCGGUCGGGGCAUCACAUCCGCAAAAAUGACACGAAACUGACAAUGGCUAACGAGACAGAGAAGCAGAGACACAGGCAGAGGGAGAAGCAGGCACCUGAAGUGGGACUCGAUCCGCGGUCUCCAGGAUCACGCCCUGGGCUGCAGGUGGCGCUAAACUGCUGCGCCAUCGGGGCUGCCCAAGUGUUGAGUAUCUUUUAUGCUUAUGACUAUUUGGAAAUGUUAGUAGUUAUUACACCUGCUGCUAGAUAAUUGUUACCAAAUAUAUUUUAAAAACACA